GGUGGGGUGCUUGGAGAGGAUUAUCAGGUCGGUCUUGAAAACCGAUGUGGGUGCAAGCCCACCGUGGGUUCGAAUCCCACCCCCACCG
rnacentral:tRNA from 1 species